rnacentral:rRNA from 1 species
GGCGAACGCUGGCGGCGUGCUUAACACAUGCAAGUCGAACGGAAAGGCCCUGCUUUUGUGGGGUGCUCGAGUGGCGAACGGGUGAGUAACACGUGAGUAACCUGCCCUUGACUUUGGGAUAACUUCAGGAAACUGGGGCUAAUACCGGAUAGGAGCUCCUGCUGCAUGGUGGGGGUUGGAAAGUUUCGGCGGUUGGGGAUGGACUCGCGGCUUAUCAGCUUGUUGGUGGGGUAGUGGCUUACCAAGGCUUUGACGGGUAGCCGGCCUGAGAGGGUGACCGGGCACAUUGGGACUGAGAUACGGCCCAGACUCCUACGGGAGGCAGCAGUGGGGAAUAUUGCACAAUGGGCGGAAGCCUGAUGCAGCAACGCCGCGUGCGGGAUGACGGCCUUCGGGUUGUAAACCGCUUUCGCCUGUGACGAAGCGUGAGUGACGGUAAUGGGUAAAGAAGCACCGGCUAACUACGUG